GCUGUUUUCAGGAAAUAAUACAGACAUUCUUGAGGUGAGUCUAUGUAUGCAGCUAGGUUACAGAACAAAGAAAGGACAUAAAAAACUAAGCAAGAACAUAUGUUGCCAGCUAUAUUGGCGAGAUACACAUGAUAAAUUGUUCAGGUGCAGUGAAGCCUGAGACCAUAAGACAUGCAUCAGAAAUCAUAUCUAUUCCACAAGAGUAUGAAUUAUAAACGAGGUACAAGAUACACAUGGUAAACGAGAUUGGUUACAAGAGUAUGAAUUAUAAACGAGGUACAAGAUACACAUGGUAAACGAGAUUGGUUACAAGAUGAUGGUGAAUAGGGAUGCACGUGGCUUGGCCCACCAAUCCAUCCUAGUAACUUGGCUUCACAACUAAUUCAAGAGCCAUGUGCACAAACAGAAUUGUCGAUUAUGUUGGCAGUGAACCGUCAAUUAGGC
rnacentral:lncRNA from 1 species